GAGUUUUGAUCCUGGCUCAGGAUGAACGCUAGCGGGAGGCCUAACACAUGCAAGCCGAGCGGUAUUGUUUCUUCGGAAAUGAGAGAGCGGCGUACGGGUGCGGAACACGUGUGCAACCUGCCUUUAUCAGGGGGAUAGCCUUUCGAAAGGAAGAUUAAUACCCAUAAUAUAUUGAAUGGCAUCAUUUGAUAUUGAAAACUCCGGUGGAUAGAGAUGGGCACGCGCAAGAUUAGAUAGUUGGUAGGGUAACGGCCUACCAAGUCAGUGAUCUUUAGGGGGCCUGAGAGGGUGAUCCCCCACACUGGUACUGAGACACGGACCAGACUCCUACGGGAGGCAGCAGUGAGGAAUAUUGGACAAUGGGUGAGAGCCUGAUCCAGCCAUCCCGCGUGAAGGACGACGGCCCUAUGGGUUGUAAACUUCUUUUGUAUAGGGAUAAACCUAGAUACGUGUAUCUAGCUGAAGGUACUAUACGAAUAAGCACCGGCUAACUCCGUG
rnacentral:rRNA from 1 species